rnacentral:lncRNA from 1 species
CAAAUUUCCAAAAGAAUUUUGAGAAUCCAGAGCCCAUUGCUCUGAUAAUUAAAUUCAACAUCUGGACCCAGCUUGGCAAGUGCUCUGUGAUCCAGCCCGUUACCUACCUCUCAUCUCAUCUCUCGGCCAUGCUCCAAGAAGUGUCUGCUCCCCAAGUGCAUAAGCUCAUGCCCCCAGGCCCAUGUCCUUGCCUCUCCCUCUGCCUGGGACACUCUUCCUCCAGAUCUUUACACUUUUGCCUCUUUUUUCAGCCUCAGCUCAAACAUCACCUCCUCCCAGAGGUCUUCCCUGACCACCCCAGGGAUAGCAGCCCUCCCGCUUCCCCAGGCACUCCCACAUUACCUUCUUUAUCAUUUUCUUCCAGAGCUCUUAGGAUGAUCUGAACUUCUCUCAUAAACUGGCUUAUUCACCUGUGAACUGCCUGCUUCCCUCGCUAUAACUGAAGCACUGGAAGAGGUCCUGCACCCAGCAGGCACUCAAUGAGUAUCUGAGGAAUGAGUGAAUGAAAUGCCCAGUGCACAAUCAACCUCCACAAAAGCAGUUUUUCUUUUCACAUAUAACUCAUCGCUAUCACAGCCCCUCUCCUUGCUCACCCGCCUCGCUGAGGGGCUCCUGAGAACCUCCGUAGAGGUCUCCAUCAGCCAAAAAGCAUCUGCACCGUCAGAGAGGGCCCCUCACUGCCGCUCGCAGUGCUCCCUGCUGCCACGUGCAGCCCCUUGAGCAUGAGCCUGUUGACACAGGUUGGCACACGGUGUCUGGCUUCUGUAAAUGCUCUCUGCUCCCAGGUGUGCCGUGCCCCAUUGAAGGACAGCACUCACACUCCUCCAGGUAUUAACUGACUUUUUC